AGAGUUGUAGCUCAGUGGUAGAGCACUUGCCUCGCAGGUGUGAGGUACUGGGUUCAAUUCUA
rfam:Ictidomys tridecemlineatus contig102953, whole genome shotgun sequence.